UGGAGGUAACACGUACGCAAAAUCUGAUGGCA
rnacentral:piRNA from 1 species